rnacentral:tRNA from 1 species
GCCGCCGUGGUGGAAUUGGCAGACACGUAUGGUUCAGGUCCAUAUGGGAGCAAUCCCGUGGGGGUUCAAGUCCCUCCGGCGGCA